rnacentral:misc_RNA from 1 species
GCAAAUCGAAAGCAAAAAAAGACCGCGUGCCGUAAACAUGGGCUUCCCCACUUGCAGCGCGCAUGGUACGCUUCGGCUCAGCGCACACAUAUCAAGUACUUUCGUGCGUUACGUGUCCGGGUGACGUUGUCAUGCCAUGAACUGUCCGGCCAAGAUUGACCGAAAGUGCUGCUGCCGAAUAAACCGCAGUCCGCCGCCGAUAACGACCGGCGAAGCGGACGCCGCACUCCGUGCCUUUCGGCGCUGGCGUCACGUCGUCGCCAAGGCUGGGAUGAAUGACCAUCCGUGCGGAAAGCAGCGUUUAGAACGAUACGUCCUCGACAGCUUAAAAGCAAUCCAGGGAGAAGUCAAACUCCCCGCCGAGAAUGGAGAUACGAGGCAGUACCGUGCCACACCUGACUGGGGGGAAAGUGCUAUCAAUGGGGACCACUUAUGGACAGCCACUAGUGCCUCUGGGGAUCUCUGUUACGUGGGAGAGAGUGAAUGCUCAAAACAUGGACCCCGGAUGAAAUGCCCAGCUUGUAAAAUAACUGUUCAUGCCGGAUGCAUUAGCAUUUUAAGUGAUAAAAUGAAGUUUCAGUGUAAGCCAACAUUCAGAGAUGUCGGCAUCAGACAAUACCGAGAGCAAACUGUGAUUCAGCACCACUGGGUACAUAGGCGCUACGAGAAAGGCAAGUGCCAACAGUGUAGCAAGUCCUUUCAGUCAAAACUCUCAUUUGGUAGCAAGGAGAUAGUGGCCAUCAGCUGCACGUGGUGCAAGACGGCCUACCACAACAAGGAGUCGUGUUUCAGUAUGCAAAGGAUCGGCGAGCAGUGCUGCCUGGGCACCCACAUGGAUAUCAUCGUGCCGCCCUCGUGGAUCGUCAAGUUGCCUCGGAAAGGUUCCUUCAAGUCCUCCAUACGGAGGUCGCCAAAGAAGCGGGCUUCGACGAAAAAGAAGUCUCGCAAGGAGGGAUGUGCAGACAAGGACGCACAGCGAGCGUUUGCCAUCAAACCGAUCCCAUGCGCGUCGAGCAAGCCCCUACUGGUGUUCAUCAACCCGCGGAGUGGGGGCAACCAGGGGUCCAAGAUGAUGCAGAAGUUCCAGUGGCUUCUCAACCCACGCCAGGUCUUUGACCUCUCCGAAGGAGGUCCCAAACAGGGGCUUGAGCUGUACCGCAAGGUGAACAACCUGCGAAUACUGGCGUGCGGGGGCGACGGAACGGCGGGCUGGAUCCUGUCCGUGAUCGACGAGAUCGGCAUCGUGCCCCCGCCGCCCGUCGCGGUGCUACCCCUGGGCACCGGCAACGACCUGGCUCGCGCACUCGGCUGGGGAGGGGGUUACACAGACGAGCCUAUUUCAAAGAUACUCCAAGAUGUUCAAAAUGGGGAUAUUGUUCAGCUGGACAGGUGGGACCUAAUUGUAAAUAGAAACCCGGAGGUGGACAUCUCUCAGUGUGAAGAAGGCAAAGAGACUGUGCCUUUAAAUGUUGUGAAUAAUUAUUUCUCUAUCGGCGUGGACGCCCACAUUGCCUUGGAGUUUCACGAAGCACGCGAAGCUCACCCAGAGCGGUUCAACAGCAGGCUAAAGAACAAAAUGUUUUACGGCCAAGCAGGAGGCAAGGAUCUCCUUCAGCGAAAGUGGAAGGACCUCUGCAACUACGUCACACUGGAGUGCGAUGGCCAAGAUUACACGGGGAAGUUACGAGAGCACAAAGUACACUCCAUUCUCUUCUUGAACAUUCCCAGUUAUGGCGGUGGCACAAGACCCUGGGGGAACCCAGGGACAGCGUUUGAAAUGCCACAGACCGAUGAUGGCCUCAUUGAAGUGAUAGGCCUCACGAUCUACCAAAUGCCUUUCCUCCAGGCGGGUGGCCAUGGCACGUGCCUCUGCCAGUGCCGGAGCGCCCGUGUUGUGACGAGCAAGACCAUCCCUGUGCAAGUGGACGGGGAGCCCUGCCGCCUACUGCCGUCGCUCAUCGAGCUGCACAUGCGCAACAAGGCCUGCAUGGUCGCCAAGGCCAAGAUUCACAACCAAGUGCCAAGCCAGUUACCACUGGAAAAGCUUACCAUUGCCAUCCGAAAGCUGAACAUGGCUGAUUACGAGAAUUAUCACUAUGACAAGGAGAAGCUACGAAGCCUAUCCAUACCGAUUGGAACGUUGACCGUGAACCCUGACACCGAUCUCGAGAAUGUCAGGCUGAUGAUCAACCAGCUGUGUUCUCUGGAAGGUCCAGAUGCACAGAAUCUGUCACCGUCCAAGAGGUUCUCGCCUGACUGGUGCUUUCUGGACUCCUGCACAGCAGAGAGGUUCUUCCGCAUCGACCGAGCUCAGGAGCAGCUACACUACGUCGUCGACAUCGGUCAGGACGGCGUGUACAUCCUCGACCCGGAGCAAUCGCCGAUUGCACCGGAGCCUCCGCCACCGCCGCUGUCGUCACCCACGACAGAGGAGACCAGUGGCCUGGACAGUUCGUCCGCCUUGAAGGAGAGCGCAGAAAGCUUAGCAGCUGUAGCAGCGGCCACGAUUGCAGCCGCAGCCGCAGCUGAAGCCGAGACAAAGGAGCCAGCUCCUACGUGGAGCACUCCUACUAGCACGCAGGACAACAAGGAGCAAAAAGUUGAGGCUGGGGAACAGCCACAGCCAACUUCAUCGCACGAAGUAAUCGUGGCUGCCAAAACGGGAGAUCUCUUAAGGAUAAGGCAGCUUUGUGACAGUGGUCACAGCCUGCUGUCGACAGACGACAGCGGGAUGACGGCACUACACCACGCCGCUCGCUACGGACAAAAGGAUGUCGUCCGAUACAUUGUCGCCAGCGCACCGCCAAUGAUCUUGGAUAUUGUGGACAAAGACAGGGGACAGACGGCUCUUCACAAAGCCGCAGCAUACAAGCGGAGAACCAUCUGUUGCAUGCUCGUAGCAGCAGGAGCAUCGCUGUCCAAGGCAGACUGCCAGGGACAGACAGCGAAGCAGCUGGCUGCCAGAGCUGGCGAUGAAGACUUGGCAGCAUACCUGGAAAGCCAGGAGCACUUCGAGAGGCUCGUGCAGGAUCGGGAGACGGCCGUCUGACGACAGCUGAAUGCUGACGCCCUGCCCCGCGACGACAAGGGCCUCAGCUUUCCCCUUCCUCGGUCGUUCCUGUGGAACCACAAAGCCGCGGCUGCGAGACUGCGCUGAGCAAGCCAAGCGAAGGCUUCAGCCAAUCCGGAUCGUCGUCCUUACGUGAGACGCUGCCAGCGGGAGGCAGAGACGGGGCUGCCGGAUGAGCCCCGCCCACUCUCUGUCCAAAUCGCGGCACCUGUCAGUAGACGCCAAGUCGCGACGUUGUUGUGGCACGACGAUGGAAGGAGCUUAAAGAAAAGUGGUACAGGCCUGAGGAGCAGAGAAGGCUGGGGUUAUGGAGCAGUUGUAACGUUAGGUCAGAACGAAACGUUCAAUAGUUUAUGCCAGCCACUCACUGUGCGCACUUCUUCACGACAGGCACUUUCACCGAUGCAAUUGGCGCGAUUCGUGCCAUAGCGGGGCAGUUCGCCUUGCGUAGCCACAUUCACCGACUAGUUCGUUCCAUAGCAUUUCAUCGCGAACAUCAGUAAUGAUUACGUGUUGAGAGGUGCUUACUUCUUGUCUGGCAUAGUUACGUUUCAUUCUGACCUGGCAGUCUACUAGCCAUUCGCGUGGCAACGAGAAGAAGGCACUUCAAGCAGUUUUACCUGACUGUGUGUUUGCAUGCUAGUUUUUCCUCGCUUCAGUAAUUGUAUCCAAGAUUGUUUGUAAGCCUCGUUGGAGGAGACAUUUGGAUAAUGCUUGGAGAUCCUUUUCGAACCGCAGUCACUGCAUACAUUGGUUCCCAGUGAGCUUACUCGAUAUUCAAGAGCAAUGACCAUUUCUCGUGCUCUCGUUUGUGCAACACCUUUGUUGGAUUUUGGCUCCUCUGCAUCCAGCAGGAGCCUCUGUUUACUGGUUCUUUUGCUUGCUCGUCUGCAGCUAAGUUGGCAGUUAAGUGCCGUGAUGGCUCAUCUUUUUGGCAGCUGCCCAAGAGCUUAGAUAUUUGGUGCUUUCAAACACUGUGCUCACUUGAGUGCAAAGGAUUCUGACAAGCUACGUUCACUCAGUAUCCAAGGUACAGUGUAUCCAAUUUUACCCGUAUGCUAAUAGAUGUAGGCUUGGCACAUUCGUCGUGAGACAUGUGUGAAAAUCUUUAUUAGAGUUUGUGUUCCACGAAAACGGGGCACCUGUUUCCGCACAGGAUUCUGCCUUCACUGCAUUUUUGCCUCUCGAUGAACAUGCGAGAUGACCUAUCAUACAUCUCCAAACACGUAUACUAUCUUGACGAUUUUCGCACUUCUUUUACGGUUGCACACAUUUUUUUACCUCUUUAUGCAAGUCUCGUUAGACCACAUCUGUCGCACCAUUUUACAACUCUUAGCUUUCGGGUUUUCAAGUUUUUCUCAGCCCCUCUGAGUGUGCCGUGCUGGUCCCGAGGUCUCCAACCUAGCUAAUCUUUUGUUGAGCGCGCCGGCGACGGGCAAAUCGCCGUCGCGAAAAGAGAUCUCCUGUUCUCUUUCCUUCGAGACUUGUAAAUCGGCGCAGUCCAACACCUUCUUGCGCGAAAUCCGGUGAUAGCAGUGGCGGGCGAACGCACCAAAGCCUUCUCAACGUUCCUGCACCAAAUGUCCUCAACAACAUUGGCCUUAUAUGUCACCAGCGUGCUCCCUCCAGCGUGGUGGUGUGGGAGGCGGCGUCGGCGAUGCUAGCGCCACCUCUGGGCGAGAGACGAAACCUCGAGUGGUCCCUUUGUGGAACAGCUUCCCCCCCGUUUCACCGUGAAGCUGGUAGGGUGGGGGUGGGGAUGCAGUAGUUUCAUUGAAACGUGCUACGCUAAUAUAAAGCUCUCGCAUUACGUUGUACAAUUUUGUAUAUUUAGCCCUUGUACCAUAGUUGCGCAACUGUAGUAGAGCUAGUUGUUUCGACUGCCCCCCUCGAAGGAUGAGAGAGAAAAAAAAAAGACGCAUUUCUAUCUCUGAGACACGUUUGAACUUUCGAGCAGUACACCUUAUCUUUGAUUUUUCGAUUCCCGCAGCAACAGCUCGAGGAGGACCAAGGCAUUUUCUCUGAGGCGCAAAGGCCUUGCCUCUGUGUGGUAGUGCGCCCCUCCGUAGGUGUUUUCUUUUUUUUGGUCCCGUUGAAAGGUCUUGUUUGUGAGCCCCUUGUUGCCAUAGAAACAAGAACGCACACGUGCUUGUCGCAUGUCAGUGGAAGAAGAAUUUUUCGUGAGGGCACUGAUUUUGACCCCACCGGUUGCAGCUUAUCAGUGGCAGCUUGCGUUUAUCAGUUACAGUCAAACCUCAAUAUAAUGAAUUCUCGUUUAUAACGAAUUACCGGUUAUAAUGAAGUCAGUGAAGAAUAGUCGUGCCAUUGAUACAGUGUUACGAUUAUACCUUUAUAACGAAUUCUCGGAUAUAACGCAGCUAUUUUCGUGUCAGGUGGGCUUUGUUAUAGCACGGUUUGGCUGUACGCUUUUGCAGGUUGUUGUGUUAUAGCAUUAUUGCAGCUGUUGAUUUUCUUUUGAUUCGCCUGUGUUUAUACUUUUUUGCCUUGCUCACCGAAGUGGCAGCUGCAUGUACAGAGUUUUUUUAUGUUUGAUGAUUUCUGUUUCACUGUUUUUUGUAUCAGUUAUUUUGACACCCAUCUCGAUGGCUUCGAGAUUUCAAUCCUGGCAUUUUGUGUGGGUUGCACUUUAAACUUACUCAGGCGUGCAUUUCGAGAAACCAAGACUCACUUUCAGGCUGUUUGCUACUUCACACCCACCAUUCUACUUCGUGCCCUGUGCUUUCGUUCGCAAGGUGAACUGUGUCACAUCCUAAAGUAGCUUAGUACAUGUUUUCGUUAUUGUUAAUUUGGAGAAAAGCUUUUAAAAAAAAACUAGGUUAGUCUUUGCGGCAUUUGUUGGCGCACACUGCAUUCUGAGAGUCGUGUCAGCUUUUAUUAUUUUUUUUUGUCAUGGCAGGUAAAUAUACUCUGAGGCCUUGAUUUUGGCAUGGACGCACAACAGAAAGCCAUAGACUUCAGGUUAACCAAAGGCCUUUUUUAAUUAAGUUAAGCUCCCUCAAGAUGCAGAGCAAAUUUAAGGGAGCAAACAUAAUUCUGAUAUUGGUUUUGGUUGACUGGUAUUUUUUUAAUUAUCUGAGUCGGGCAUUAUUCUGUAUCGACGUCAGUCGCAUUCAAAGAUGUUUUAGUCAGUUUUGAAAACAAAACGUCUAACGGUGUGGGUAAAAGUUGAGGCCCCUUUUUUGUAAUAGAGUUCAUCCAAAGUUGCAAACAGCAGCUGUUAGAGCUGCCUUACGUUCCUACCAAGCUCUUGUCAUUUCUUAUGUAAAGCGAGAUAUACAAUAUUCUCUACUGCACUGAACUACAAUGAUUAGGCAGAUACCUAACAUACCUAGGGCACAGUUUCUUAUUGCACCCUACUGUCCACAUGACAUUACGGUAACCAAUGCACAUAACUAGCUGACGCAUCUAAGACGUUCUUUGAGUUGAACGGCAGUGUUCUUGCCACUGAAUUGUUAGAAACUAUGUUUAAAACUGAGCUUAAUGUUCAUGUAGUGUUCCUGCUGUUGCUCAGGUAGCCAUCUUGUUGAGUUAUCGAAGCAGCUUCGUGAAGUCGGGUUAUCUGCCAGUGCACUGAACUGUAUGCGAAACUCACUUUGUACUUUCCCCAUCAUCCUUGUGGAAAGGUUUCAUUAAGCUGCACACGUGCACUUAUAUAUAUAUAUGUGUGUUUUCUUAUUUGAUUGUUUUUGUUUGCUGUGUUCUUUAAUGUUUAUGUUUGAGCAAAGGCUGUCAAGUCUGUUGUGGCCCGCAGUUUUCUCAUGCAUGCGUUUACAUGAGCAAGAGCAUAAAUUUUAGUGUACCAUUGCAUGACAGCUUGUAGAAAGGGUAGUGUCUCUUAAACUUACCCAAUGUGCAGUUGCACCAAAGAACAGUGCUUAUACGUUGCAGCUUUUCCAAAUCGCAGCUCAAAGACUCAAUUCUCUUGGCUACGCCUUCAAGAUACUGUAGAAGCCGCACAAACAUCCAGAAAAUCCUUAAUUCCUAGACUUUCAAAGCAGCCUUUCGACAUUUUGUUUCACUUACACUUAUUGAGUUUGAACAUACUACAGAAUGUACAGAAUGACAGUAGUGGGCUAUUAUCUUUUUCUUUGACAUCUGCAAUGAUUUUGUAUGAAGAGAAAGCAUGUUUUACAGAAAGCAUGGGGAUUAUCUUAUCCGCUUGCUCUAUGAUGUUUCACUCAGUUUCUGGUGAAAUACUACAUGUCCACCGCUUACCAGAUGUAUAUACAAUAUGAAUUCCCGAUGCCCCAAAAUAGCAGAAUUAUGACGAUGUACGCUUUCCUUGUUUUCGUUAUUUUGAUUUCACGUGGUAUGCAUCAUGUUCAUUUGAUACAAAUAAAGAUGAAAGAGGAAGCUAUAGAAGUAGUUUUUUUUUUUCGUAUGAAUUCAUUUUUUUGUGUGUGGGUAGAAGAAUCGACACCAGAAAGAACCUGAAAAUAUUUGUAGGAAAACUUCAGAUGAUUGUCCGUAAAACCAUUGCCCUUUACGGGACACUGGUUAAACAUGUUGACUUUUACGGAAUACUAUGUUUUACAGAAUACUGGGUUUACAAAAUACUGCAAAUACGUUUCUGCAAGCAGCAGUGUCGGUGGUGCAAUCUCGUAGUGCAGAGCUUAAUCAGUGCGGACACAAAGCUAAUUUCUGCAGAAAGAAGUUUCGUACUAUUUUGCUGUUGGUUUUGAGGGUUGGCAUAAAUGUAGUCAUCAGCACGCCCAUUUGUUUAACAAGAAUGCCUAUGUGAGAUCAUUUCUAAUGCAUUCCCUAGUAGCAUGGAUGGUUGCCAUAAUGUUGCAGGAACAUCCGCUUUGUUGCCAUAAUGUUGCAGCAACAUUAGCAUUGUUGUGACAACGUUGCUUCAGCAUUUGGCGUUAGGGGUGUGGUUGGAUUACGGCCGUCAUUAACAUAUACACUACUGAAAUUCAUAGCUGAUAAUUUGGUGCUCUAAAAGCAGUAAUAUGUUUGCCAUGAGAUCUAACUUUUUAUUGUUCAAAAAGCUUGUGCAUGUAAUAACAUAACUUUACUGGGGACAAACUAAUUGUGAAGAAUGUUGCAUAACUAGAAAGCAGUACUGAAGUGGAUGUUAUCUUCUGGUUAAAUAUUAGGUCAGUCUAUUCUCAAGUUUCACACAAAGGCAGCAUCUCACAGUGCGUGCAGUUUUAUAAAUGCCCUAGUAGCACGUAUUGUUGCCAUAAUGUUGGAGUGGAGUGAUGUCUGCAACAUCAAGGCAGCAUUCACAAUGUUUUGGCAACUUUGCUUUGGCAAUAUCUGUACUAGCAUGCAUUGUUGCCAUAGCAUUGAAGUAACAAUUAGGCAACUUUCAUAACGUUGUGGCAAUGUUGCCUCAACAAUUGAUGCUACUUGGUUUGGUGCUACUAAGUAAUAUGUUUGGACUCAUUAUUGGCAUCUGUUUAUUUGCACACAAAUUUGAGAAACUGAAGGAAUGGGUGGCACAACUCUCAAGUCUAUCGAAAAGGGAAUAUUUUGGGCCAAGGCUCGCUUUUACCGUGUGUUAGGGCAUCACUGUUCGAUUAGCCACAAAAUUAUGCACGCUUUAUCGGUUAAUUAGUUUGUUGAUUAUUCCACGUGUUCUAUGUAUAUGCUUAUUCAGCCACAGACAUAAUCUACUUCUAAAUUGGUCUAUCUUUGUUUGACUGACCGCUUGGUGGUGUUGUUCACUUUGGUCCCUUUUUUUUUGCAUGGUAAGGCACUAGGUCAAAUUACUGAGCUACUGUUAUUUCUAAAAUCACCCACUUUUUCUGCUUGGCAUGUGCUUGUUUCCAAUCUUGAUCUUGCGUGCUUCUUUUUGCUGGACCUUUGCUUCUGUUCUUUUCUUUUUCACAUGUCUCAGUUUAGGCACACUUCGACUUUUGACUCCAUUUAUCAGAUAAAAUGAUUUGAGCUGCUGUCAGACUUUUAGCUCGCAUAUAGUUCCUAGGACAUGAUUGCUAUGACCUUCUUUAGAUGGGCUUUGCAACCACUGUGCAGCAAUCGAAUGGUCUUUUGAUUCAAUUAUUCAAUAAAUGUCACUGAAGGUCUUUUCUGUAACAUAUUUCAUCAUGCCCUUACCUUGUCACUUAAAGCAGCAGUCCUAGCUAAUAAUGCUGUUAUUAUUAGUUGUACAUUUGCUAGGUUCACGCUUGCACCGCUUAAGCUGCAUCGUUAGAACUGAACCACGUGGGAUGUUAUCGAAAGAAUGGCUGUUAUGGGACCAAAGGGUUUUCGGUUCAGGUGCCACUUUCAAGUCUCAGGUGUAGAAGAACAUUUUUUGCGCUGAGUUGUUGGCAGUGGUGCAUGGAAGUGUCGUCUUCGUGUGCAAUUUGAGCUGGCAGUUUCACGUUACGGAAAAGACAUUGCUUUCUUUUCCGGAUUUCAGACCUUGCUCGUCGCACCAAGUAAGCCAGAACACGGCACUCACAUACAUUGCGCGCGACAGUGUCCAUCUCUCAAACAUGCGUAACGACAGUGUUUCCGAAAUUGUGGCAGCGACGUUUGGUGUGCAGGGAUAUGUGGCAAGCAGUGUGCUUUGCGCAUUCCAUUCGUGUGCACUUUGUUCGAGGAAUGAAACUCUGUGUGUGCUUUGUUUUUGGUUGUUUGCAAGAGGUAACCUAGCUCAGUGUCACUCCAGUGUCAGUGUGCGUGAUUGAUAGAAUCCACUUAAGUCUUCAUGGGAAAGAAAAUAUAAACUGAACAUUAAGAACUCCUAAGCUAUGUUAAGACAAUGUUACAUGUGGAGCGAAAUUUUAGUACUUUGCUUACAACAGGCCACCAAACCACCAGACAGGGUUCACUGUUCUCAAUAGCACUGGCCCAUCCCAUUAUCAUCACAGAGGACUGGUGCUAAAGGUGCAAAAUGGACCUUUGUGUUCUGCAAGCACUAUAUAAACCUGAAGUGUGACUAGGAUCACCAAUGUGGGAUUAUAUUCAACUGGGCUGAAUGUUGUGGGACAUACCCUGACGAAAACAAAGGGCAUGAAGACUGCUGAAAUAGUUCUCAGCCUGCAAUAUCGUAAAUGCUUCUCUUUUCUAACCGUCAUUGUUUUUUAUACCCUUUUGAGAAACGCACGGGCUAGGCGGCAAUGGUUCUUCAGGACCUCAUGUCUGUUUUUACCGUUUGUGUCCUGUGGUGCCAUUCUCGACACCGUAAAAUUCUGCCAUCUUGUCAGAUUUCGAAAAUAGCGGCAUUUCAAGCUGAUCAGCGAAGCCGUAGAAGCCCGUUGGGCUAACUAGAAUUGACAACAUGGCGAAUUUGACAAGAUAGUGGGAUUUGACAGUGUCCAUAAUAAAAUCCCUGCAGACAGGCUUUUUUUAAUGCGUUCAUUACAGAAUCCAUUCAAGGCUCGAUCAAUGAAUCAGGUAAUCAACCAUUUGCCGCGGGUCUACCCCCCAAUACUAUCUUUAUCACCUUGCAGAACACUGCUUCAGUGUCGUUUUCUUCACGUGAAAGCUCUUCGUAACCCUGUCUUAACAAAAGCACGUAUGAUAAAGACACAAAUUAGACUCUGCCUGGCAUUCCCAUGAGGUUUCAGUUGGUGCGAGAGGAAUGGUCCUUCGACGUUUUUUUGUCUCAACUUGUCUGGUGAUGGAGCAUCCUAGCCAGAGUCACGAGCCAAUGCAGCAUGACGCUUCGUAGUCACCUUCAGGAAGGUCGGCCCCCAGCCGAUGCCGAAGGUGCAAUGUAUGUUACUAGCGUUCGCCACCCUGACACGGUGAAUUACCCCGCAGUGGGAUGUAUAGAGCCCCCUAGUCAAAGUGCAUUUUGCCAAAAGAAAGAUAUGAAGGAGAUGUUUGGAGGGCUGUCAUAUCAACAUCUGUGCAGGCGCAGUGUAGUCUUUUCGGGACGAGUUCUCUUGGUAGCCUUUUUCCCUUUUUUUUGUUAGUGAAGGGAGCUUUAGGAAGAGUGAUCCUUGAAGAGAGGGAAAAUGCAAUCGCAAUAAUCUCCACCCUAAUCUUCGUUGCUUCGUGUGAGCUUUCGAAGAAAGACCGUGGGAGGUGUCGAAGCACCACUGUAGAGUCUUUUAAGAGCUCGAUCGGUCGUGGGAAGUCUGUAGAUUACGUUUUGCAACAUUUCCUUUUUUGGGGAGUACCUCUCCUCUUUUUCUCUUUUAAUCCUUCGCCCCCAUUGUAGAUCACGUUCUUCGUCCCACACGCGCACGACCUUAUGGUAGGCCGACCAACGCGUCCACUUUGGAUACAGUCUUGUUGGCGGCGCUAUAAAUACAUAUAAAUACUAUACAUAUGCAUAUAACUUAACUCAUGUAGCCUGUACGUUACCCACACACCUAGGAGGCCUAAUUGAACCAAAGUGUAUAAAAAAACAGAUGCCACUGGACCACUUGUUCGACCGUAGUCGAGCCCCUAGGGCCGAGCGUGUAUUCUAUUGCUACGAUACGCCUGUUGUUCCGUCUGUUCGCCAUCUUGUAUCUUGUUCUUCGAAGACCACAGGAAUGUAGGCUUAGCCGGUGUUUUUUGUGACGGCGGGCGCACGGACUCACCGCGUCUUGUUAUUGCGUGACGCGCACCGUAGCUCUUUCGAGGCGAUGGUGAAUGGGUCCGAGAGUUUCGUCUUUGUAUCUAUCUUUGUGCUGAUGCUUGUUCAAAAAAGAAAGAAAAAAAUAUCGUUCCUUCGCGUUGGUUCCUUUUAAGUUCUUUCGCGUGCGGCGCACGUUUCGAAAUGGUUGGCUUGGCUGUUCCCUAUGAAAUGAAUAACGCUUUGCGUCUACUGCGUGGUAGCGACCUCGACGUUUCCCCGAUUUUGUGUGUCGAACGUCAGGUUCGAAGAUUUUCCACACCUUGAUGGCGUAAUAAAUUUCCGCAAUGGCGUCAAUUCGAAACUUUUGCCGCCAGAAAAAAAAAAAAAAACGGCGAUCGCAGUACCGGUUCGAUGCAGUUGUCGGCUACGACUGGGUCGCAACCACGUUUUAUACUUUAUAGCCAGGUCUGUGAAGCUUGUUUUGAUGCAGUGUUCCGCAGCUAUCGACUUCUGUUGAAAGAACAAAAAAAAAAAAAAACUCGAGCUAUACUUCGCGAGCUCGAAUCAAGCAAUGCUCUUAGUUUUCUUCAUGUUCUCGUACGUCUUUUCUUUUCCUCCUCCCCUGAUCAGUUACGUUAUGUCUCAGUUAUCGAGUUGUCCUUUAACAAAAGAAAGUGCACUGAUCCUGCAGUGUCGUCUUUUCACUAGGGUGCUGAUGUAAAAAAAAAAAUAUUAGUAGGUGUAUCGCGUUCCCGCAGUCCCCCGCGUACGCACCGCACCCAGCGUCACGUCUGAGCGUUUUUUGUACUGGCACAGCCCUGACUGCGCGUUCUGUUCCUGGCGAGACCAGCCAUUUCCCAAACCGUCACACCCCGUGUCACACAGAAGUUCCGGCACGUUUUCCUUGGUCCGGCGUCGUCUGUGACGGAAUAGUUUGGUCGCACCGCAGAACAAAGGUUUCGAUGAACGCACACGUGCCCUAAACGUAAGCUGAGAGAUCGGCCACUGCCUUUCCAGAUUCGUACCCGGGGGCAAGUUCGCGGUGUUGAUCCUCAAUCAAAGCGCUUUUUAAGAGACAAUUAAGACGUAACAGUAGAAUUGGGUAGCUUCUACAAUGUGCUGACAUUUUUUUGGAAUACCGGUGACGUAGACAGGUGCACUCAUUGGUGGCGCCAUCUGGUAACGUUGAAUUCAACCAAAUCUAUUUUCGCAGCGAUCAGCUAUGGGCUGUUGAACUCGUAAUGCAAAGAGCGUCGGCAACUUCACAUUAGUAUAAAAUGAAACAAAGAACUGUUCUAACGAUAUGUUAAAACUAACGGCCGCAAGCUGUCAGUACAAUAGGGUUGCUGCUAGUACUUUUUAACUAAAACUGGAACAUUAGCUGUUGCCUUCUACGUCUGCAAUAUUCUAUAAACCUAAAUACGUGUACGAACAUAGGUACAAGUCUAAUGUUAGUUUUGAUUUUCGAGGUGUUUGUCCUAACCAAGCCUGUAAGGCGUUUCACUAUGACGUCACGAUAUGUGAUGUGCCUAUUUGAAGCAAAUUUGCAGCUUAUGCUGAAUAAGGAGCCGUGACACGCAACACUCAACCCCUAAAGUAACGGCUGCAGCCAUUGGCGCGUUAAGUUCUCCAUUCGUGAAGGCACUGUAAGGAAAAGAUGUCUGUUGCGCUGUCAUUGCAAAGCCUGGCUUCUAACGUGCGAAGUGAAAACGGGGCAUGUUGGAGCCCUACGCCUAUUUUAUUGAUAACUUACAAAUCAGCCGGUCGCGUGAAGUGGCUUCGUGCAGAAAGGUGUACAGGCUCGAGCCGCCUCAUUUCUAUCCGGUAAUGUGGUUUACAAACGAAUCGUCAUUCUAGAUGUCGUCACUUCACGAGACACGUGGUCCCCGACAGGUCUCAAUUUCUGAGCGAUAGAGCACUCGUAUUGAAAUCUACGGGAGCUCGUUUUUGACGAGUGGACACGAAGCCGAAAUCGUAGCCUCCGAGAUAUUGGUGAGGCGCGAGCGGAAUGUCAGGGAGGUCAUUGUCCUGGCUUGCUAUUUAGGGCUCCGACUGUUCGCGUUCCUGAUCGGAUUGCGUCACGCGCAGCCCCCAUUCCAGCAUAUAUGUAGCUGACGUUAAAAAAAAAAAAAGACAUUACCCAAGGAUAGGUUCCUCCAAGUAUGGGAUCGACAUGUGUUACAAGAGUAUGCAAUACACACUGCUAAAUGAAGAAAAGUGGCGCCAUCUAUAGAUGACGGUGUAGGUAGGCGGUAGCUCUGCUCCCUCCAGUCUGCCUGUAGCAGUUGGCAUUGCAGCUUUUCGUGGUGCGUAGGUUUGGCUCUUCUGUCGGGCUCAAAAGCACUAGCUUGCGACAGUCGACGCCGGGCCACCGUGACCCAUUCACGUGCACUGUACAGAGGUUUUCCAUGUGACUGCCCGGCGAUCACGUUGUACUGAACUGUUAGUGUUAUUCCCGCGCAGUCGGUGCGCUAGCUCUCCGCAGCUAAACAUAGGCAAUUGUUGCUCUCUUCUCGUUAGAGCGACAUAAUUAUGUGCACUUCCUCACCGCUUGUAAACGCGGGACCGUGUUGUUGCCUACCCUCGUUGGAAUGAAAAAAAAAAAAUGAAAGAAAGCAACCCGUCUAAAAAACAAACUGCCCAUGAAGUCUAUUUUUCCUUACCCUGAGUCGACAGUUUGCCACUAAACCGGCGAGUGCGCUGUGACGUUGCGGAGAUAUAUGCAACGGCGAGAAAGACACAGAGAGAGAAGUAAAUAAAAAAGAACACAACAAACUGGCGUUUCUCAAUGGCUUACAGUAGCUGACCGAAGUCUUUGUCCCGUGCGCGGAGAAGCGAUAAGUCCGCGCGGCAUUCUCCAUAGUUUGACCGUUAUGCUGUACUGCUCCGUGUGUACCGUGCACAUUACCAACCGUUUCCUUCGUGUUGAUGAUCGAAAUGACGCUCCCUGCGGUGCUAUUGGUUGGUCGUUCGCGUAUGUGGACCCCCGCACCGUGUCUCGUUCAACGCGGAACUUGCAGUGAUGACGACCCGCAUCUCUAAUUUCGCGCGGUCUUUUUCGCAUGUCUCUUGCACUGCAGCGGCGGGCGGAGGACUUUGAAGCAAACACUGGCGCCGUAGUGCUCGAAACUGGGACGCUUAACACUCGUUUGUAAUUGUUAGGCUUAGCUGCGUCGUAAGUCGCCGCGCUCGAAAACGUAAUGGUGAGUGUCUGAAAAAUUUCUGAGAGUCUCAUUGGAACUACGGCUGAUAAUGUUUCUUAACCUAAUCUACAUUGAUUUACGUGUGGAAGCGAAUUGAGUCUUAAAAUUCGCCCCCCCCCCCCCGUUUCCUGGAGCACGUUCGAGCUGAAAAGUGGCGCAGUCGACUGGAUGGUUAGGUCUAUAGGCCAUAUGACCGCAGGCUUGCUUCGUUCGCCCGAGUUGUGUUCAUGAGCCCGCAUUUUUGAAAAAUCUGACUUCUCAUAGCGCCUUAACUGGCCUAUUCGUCUAAUUGAGCUGACAAAAGUCGUUGCACUGAACAUUUUACUCAACUUCAUCGGCAAGUGGCGAGCCUGUGUGAUCGUGGUUGUUGGCAGUAAUAGUAAAUGCACUUGAAAACUCUUGAACAGUAAUGACCUCUUGAUGAAACGUGUGCGUGAAUCACCCGGUAAGCCAGUAUUUAGAGCAGCAAAAUUAUUUCGUUACUUCAGGCCUUCGCCUCCGUAGCUGAGCUCUUAAAAGUUGGUGGGAAAUGACGGUGGAGCGUCAUCGCAUGGCAAGUCUCGCGUUGAACAUGCGGUGUGGGUUCGCGUUGAUUUCGAGUCUUUAAACUCGUUUAGUUGGAGCAACACUUCACAUGACAGUGCUGUUUUCAUUGCUGUUUCACUGCGUGACAGUUGCUUUAUGUAGCAACAGUCGCUAAUGUAUCCGCUGCACUCUAGACGGCGGUACAAUCGUUUGCGUGCAGAAGUUUGUUCUUUUUUCUGAAGUUCUGAUGUGAUGUUUGAUGGAUUUGUUUAUUCUCAGCAUCGCUCGCUUUUCUUUCAUCCCUGUUGUGUUUUGUCAUUUCUUUCUUGCAAGAGAAAGUGUUGGAGAAAUAAAUUUUGAAAUACAGAAGGGACCAAA